ACCCCAGAGGAGAUACGAGUGACUUCGAUGUGAAGAAAUGAUCACACACAAGGAAACCUCAUUGUAAGCUGGAAUGUGCUGUGCAGCUGUGAUGUCUGAGACGACAAGGAGACCAAAAAAGAAGGCUGGAGCAAAGUGUCCCUUGAGUGAGUGUGGAGAGUGUUGGGAAGAGACUUGGAAACAAGAAAAGAGGUCGCAUCUGGAGGAAUGACACUGCCCUUGAAGGAGCCGGACUGGGUAGAGCAAGGUGGAAGAAACUUCCAAGUUCCAGGAUGAACUGGCUUGCAGCUGGAUUCAGCCGAUGGGAAGGACUGGCAGAAGCCUGGGGGGCUGGGG